AGACAGAGAGUUGUCUUUCUUCUCUGCAGGGACUCACUAAACCUGAUAACCUUGGCCCAAACCUAGACAAUUGUUGCCAUAGAAACCAGCACGUGUGCACAGCAGGAGUUUGUUCCUCAAAGCGUUUAGCCCAUGCCAACAGAGCGAGGCUCCAGAGGUGAGAGAACUGGUCUUUAUUCCUGAGAAGAGGUCCUGGCACCAGGCAGAGUUGAAUCAGCUCGAUGUGUGAAGCCCUAGGAGCCCCAUCCCAGAGGGGAGACUUGGCCAACACAUCCGACCAUGAGAGCAUUCACAUCUCUAAAAUGGUCAACGUGCAACUGAAAAAAUAAAUCCACACGUCACCACCUCAGAUCAGGUGACAAUCUACAAGACAUAAUUUUCCAAACAAAGGAAGUGGCCUGGGCUUUUUUACACCACGUAGUGCCUUGCUCUGAAGCAUUUUCUCUAGUCUCCUUUUUCUGGGAAAUGUCUGUACAGCUCUGGGAACCCAGCUCUGUUCUUGGCUCUCUGGCUUCCGUCUUCUUCCCGGGGAUCCAGGAGCCCAUCAGAGUUCCUCAUUUAUAAGUGGUGCACAUACUCAUUCAGUGACCCUGGCUUUGAGAAAACUUCAGCUUCCCAGUUCUCUGAAGAGAGAGGCCAAGAAUGGUUGAGAGGAAAGUUUUCUGGGCCACUCACUCCAGAACCUCCUGCAGGACCUGGGAGAACAGCCGUGGAGCCAUCUGUGCAAAGGAGCCUGAUGACUCAGAAGGGUGAGACUAUGAAGAAAGAGGGAACGUCAAGUGGCCCCAUGCCAUUCCAGCCUUUCCCAGAUUAGGCGCCAGGUGUGAAGCCACCUUUGAUUCUCUGGCACAAGAGAUCCACCGAGCUGAUGCUACGCAGAGGAAGGACAAACCAUCCAUGUUGAGCCUUAACCAAGUUGCAAAAUCAUGGGCAAAUAAAUGACUGUUGUUCUAAGUCACUAA